rnacentral:rRNA from 1 species
AACAGGAUUAGAUACCCUGGUAGUCCACGCCGUAAACGAUGUCUAUUUGGAGGUUGUUCCCCUGAGGAGUGGCUUCCGGAGCUAACGCGUUAAAUAGACCGCCUGGGGAGUACGGCCGCAAGGUUAAAACUCAAAUGAAUUGACGGGGCCCGCACAAGCGGUGGAGCAUGUGGUUUAAUUCGAUGCAACGCGAAGAACCUUACCUGGUCUUGACAUCCACAGAACUUUCCAGAGAUGGAUUGGUGCCUUCGGGAACUGUGAGACAGGUGCUGCAUGGCUGUCGUCAGCUCGUGUUGUGAAAUGUUGGGUUAAGUCCCGCAACGAGCGCAACCCUUAUCCUUUGUUGCCAGCGAUUCGGUCGGGAACUCAAAGGAGACUGCCAGUGAUAAACUGGAGGAAGGUGGGGAUGACGUCAAGUCAUCAUGGCCCUUACGACCAGGGCUACACACGUGCUACAAUGGCAUAUGCAAAGAGAAGCGACCUCGCGAGAGUAAGCGGACCUCAUAAAGUAUGUCGUAGUCCGGAUUGGAGUCUGCAACUCGACUCCAUGAAGUCGGAAUCGCUAGUAAUCGUGGAUCAGAAUGCCACGGUGAAUACGUUCCCGGGCCUUGUACACACCGCCCGUCACACCAUGGGAGUGGGUUGCAAAAGAAGUAGGUAGCUUAACCUUCGGGAGGGCGCUUACCACUUUGUGAUUCAUGACUGGGGUGAAGUCGUAACAAGGUAACC